rnacentral:RNase_P_RNA from 1 species
ACUGCAGGCUGCGCUAUCGUCCUUAUUCAUUUAGGGAAGGAAAGUCCGGACAGCAAAGAGUAUCGCACCGGUUAACAGCCGGCUUUCUGCAAAAACAGAAAAGAGAAAGUGCCACAGAAAAUAACCAUCAGCCUACCGGCUGAUAAGGGUGAAAAUGUGAGGUAAGAGCUCACGUUUGUUAUUGGUAACAAUAGCAAAGGGUAAACCUUGCGAGCUGAAAUGCCAUGUAUAGGACCGCCUGAGAACUACUCGUUCAAGGUCCAGGGUAGGCAGAUACAUCCUUGCAGCAAUGCCAGGGGAAGAUAAAUGAUAGCAUUUUUAGUCAUCUAAAAAAACAGAAUCCGGCUUACAGGUUUGCAGUAUUC